rnacentral:rRNA from 1 species
AGCGAACGCUGGCGGCAGGCCUAACACAUGCAAGUCGAACGAACCUUUCGGGGUUAGUGGCGGACGGGUGAGUAACACGUGGGAACGUGCCUUUAGGUUCGGAAUAACUCAGGGAAACUUGUGCUAAUACCGAAUGUGCCCUUCGGGGGAAAGAUUAAUCGCCUUUAGAGCGGCCCGCGUCUGAUUAGCUAGUUGGUUGAGGUAAUGGCUCACCAAGGCGACGAUCAGUAGCUGGUCUGAGAGGAGGAUCAGCCACAUUGGGACUGAGACACGGCCCAAACUCCUACGGGAGGCAGCAGUGGGGAAUCUUGCGCAAUGGGCGAAAGCCUGACGCAGCCAUGCCGCGUGAAUGAUGAAGGUCUUAGGAUUGUAAAAUUCUUUCACCGGGGACGAUAAUGACGGUACCCGGAGAAGAAGCCCCGGCUAACUUCGUG